UUCACCACAGCCCCCACCCUCCUCGUCUAGCCCUUUCUUCCCAGCCAACCGCGCCCCUCCCUGAGCCGGCCGGCCACUCUCGGGCCACGCUCAGCUGACCAGGGGCUGAGAGGAGGAGGGGGCAGGUGUGUGGCAGUGGCUGAUCCCUCUCCCCCAGCUCCUAUUCUCCCAGGGAGGACACGGGGGACCAAAAUCCUCUGCGCCGGCCCCUGCAGGAUGCCGUGCGACAGCCGCCUGUUUCCCGCCGGGACCCCUGGCUGGCGGUAUCUCCACGAUUUCGUUCACGUUCCUUCUCAGCUACUUCCCUCUCCCGAAGGGAGAGAGAGAGCACGCGUGAGCGGGGAAGAGGAGCAGAGGGACAGAGAGAGAAUCUUCAGCAGGCUCCGUGCUGAGCUUAAGACAUGGGGCUUGAUCCCGCGACACUGGGGUCAUGACCUGAGCAGAAAUCAAGAGUUGAUGCUCAACCAACUGAGCCAUCCAAGUACCCCAUCACCUCAACUUUUAAAAUAACUACAUGAAAUCCUGAAAGUCACCUAAAUGGACUCAGUUUAUGGUCCCCUGGAAACAACGGAUGAAAAAGCUACCUCAGCCCAGCUCACCACUGCACUCUUCUUAAAGACCAAUGGAUGCAUUAUUUCUGCAAAGCAACCUUCUGAAUCCCGUUGAGGUAGAAGGUGGAAAGGAGGUGAUAAAAACAUUCUUUAAAAGCUGCUUUUCUUCCCCCAAAAUGAUGGAUGCGCAUUUUCUAUGCAACUGUCUCAAAACAUGACAAAAGGGAAAGGUGGGGUUCCUUUUACAAAGUAGAAUACUGGAAGAGUAAGAAACACACAAGUAAAUUUCACAGGGAUACGUAUUAAUGCCGUAGUGCUUUGAAUCAAAAGCCCCGUUUCCUUACCUCUAGCCUGGUGUCAGUAGGUGAAAAAGUCAAAUCUCUUACUAGAUCCAAAAGCUGGCCCAAGCAGCCAUUUUUAGAGAAGGUAAAGGUAAUAAAGAGUCAUUUUCCAGCUUUGCCAAAGGAAGAUGUUGCUGUUGUUACUAUUAUUAUUGUUAUUGUGUUAUUAUUAUUAUAUUAUUAUUAUUAUUGUCAUUAUUACUGUGGCAGUGACCCAUAAAGGAAAGUACCAAUGAUAUGAGCCAUUUCCCAAAGUUCUAAAAAGCCUGAGUGGCAGAGAAUGACAGUCGUUCCUCAACAUCAACCAUUCUGCUCGCAAAAGCCUGGGUUUCCGGGCAGCUCCUUGGACAGCUCACUGCCUUUCGCUCACCACACCGAGACAGUCAAACGAUGCUACGACACACUUUCCAGCUGCAGCACAGUGGCACUGCUCGCCAGCCAGCAACUCAGUUACAGCAGCGUCACCACCGGUGAGCUCAGCCGUGUGGGGAAAGGACCCUACUGCGUUACGGUACUGUGUUCUCUCACAUGUAUUUGAAAGCACAGAAGACAGCGCCUUCCUUAUCCUGCCGGACCCCAGCAGCCAAAGGGAAUGACUCUCAGCAGCCCACACCAGCCACAAAGUUCCUGAAAACACCAGCCCAGAUGUUUAUUUUUGUUUUUU